rnacentral:lncRNA from 1 species
UUCUAGAAAAUUUGUCUAAAAACCUAGAUCAUCUUUACACCCAGCACACCUUGACUUUGCAGGAACUUCAAAACAUCAGUCUACAUGUGGACAAAGUGCAUGACCUUGUGAAUUUCCAGAUAAAACUUUUUCAGAAAAAAUCUGAAAAGACAGAAACAGAAAAGGCAGAUGUGUCAGUGGCUUUAGAAUUAAAGGCAGCUGAUGAAGAGGUGAAACCUGAAUGCUUAGUGGAAAAAGGAUAUCUUUGGCAAGCACAGGCCAUGCUGCAAAAGAUACAAGAAUCUUUGGAUAAACGAGAGAAAGAAAUCACCGAGCUUCUACAAAGUGAGAGAAGAUAUAACAAAGCAAUGAAACCUCAAAUCACAGUGCUAAUAUUCUUGAAAACUCUUGUCCAGAGGGUUCACAACAUAUACCGUGAUGUCCCUGAGGCUCAGCAGUACAUCAGUCAGCAUAUCAGGAAGAACAAGGAUGAAAGGGCURAUUGGAAAGAAGCCUUUAAUAAUGCACAGGCUGACAUUCUCUCCUAUGAAGUAUUUUAUGGAAAUGAACCUAUGGAUGAGAAAAGGACAAAGCUCUUGAUGAAGCUUUUCAGAAAUCUUGGGAGAGCAAAGUCUGAAUUAGAAUAUGUUGAAACAGAGAAGAUUGUGUUUG